CAUGAAUUCUUCUGUAAUAUAUUUUCGUACACUUAUAAUUCAAUCUUUUUUUGGUUUAGAUGUGCAUCAUAAAUCUUAAUAAACCAAAAUCCGAUGCUGUGCUCGGAAAAUCCACACACGAAGAUACUGUAGAGGGCAGCGUUGUUGCGUCUUUAAUGAGAUGGCUAGUUAGUUUGAAAAAAAAAAUAUGAUGGAAAAAUACUGAUAAAAGAAAAAAUACGCUUCUUUUGUGUACACGGAACCUUUCCUGCUAGUUG